rnacentral:rRNA from 1 species
GCGUAACGCGUGGGAAUCUGCCCUUGGGUCCGGAAUAACAGUUAGAAAUGACUGCUAAUACCGGAUGAUGACUUCGGUCCAAAGAUUUAUCGCCUGAGGAUGAGCCCGCGUAGGAUUAGGUAGUUGGUGGGGUAAUGGCCUACCAAGCCGACGAUCCUUAGCUGGCCUGAGAGGAUGAUCAGCCACACUGGGACUGAGACACGGCCCAGACUCCUACGGGAGGCAGCAGUGGGGAAUAUUGGACAAUGGGCGAAAGCCUGAUCCAGCAAUGCCGCGUGAGUGAUGAAGGCCUUAGGGUUGUAA